rnacentral:rRNA from 1 species
GACAGAGGUGCCGAGCGUUAGGCGGAAUCACUGGGCUUAAAGCGUGUGUAGGCGGGUCGUUAAGUGUCUUGUGAAAUCCCACCGCUUAACGGUGGAACCGCUGGGCAUACUGGCGAUCUUGAGCAGUCCAGGGGCGAGCGGAACAAGCGGUGGAGCGGUGAAAUGCGUAGAUAUCGCUUGGAACGCCGACGGUGAAAACAGCUCGCUGGGGACUCGCUGACGCUGAGACACGAAAGCCAGGGGAGCGAACGGG